rnacentral:rRNA from 1 species
GAUGAACGCUGGCGGCGUGCCUAAUACAUGCAAGUCGAGCGAACGGACGAGAAGCUUGUUUUUCUGAUGUUAGCGGCGGACGGGUGAGUAACACGUGGAUAACCUACCUAUAAGUCUGGGAUAACUUCGGGAAAACGGAGCUAAUACCGGAUCAUAUUUUGAACCGCAUGGUUCAAAAGUGAAAGACGGUCUUGCUGUUACUUUUAGACGGAUCCGCGCUGCAUUAGCUAGUUGGUAAGGUAACGGCUUACCAAGGCAACGAUGCAUAGCUGACCUGAGAGGAUGAUCAGCCACACUGGAACUGAGACACGGUCCAGACUCCUACGGGAGGCAGCAGUAGGGAAUCUUCCGCAAUGGGCGAAAGCCUGACGGAGCAACGCCGCGUGAGUGAUGAAGGUCUUCGGAUCGUAAAACUCUGUUAUUAGGGAAGAACAUAUGUGUAAGUAACUGUGCACAUCUUGACGGUACCUAAUCAGAAAGCCACGGCUAACUUCGUG